rnacentral:ribozyme from 1 species
UACAACAUACUAACAUCUCUGUCUAUACAUACAUACAUAGUCUUCCAUUAAGUCUCCCAACU